rnacentral:rRNA from 1 species
GACGAACGCUAGCGGCAUGCCUAAUACAUGCAAGUCGAACGCUGAAGCACUCUGCUUGCAGAGUGCGGAUGAGUGGCGAACGGGUGAGUAACACGUGGGAAAUCUGCCUAGGAGUGGGGGAUAACAUUCGGAAACGGAUGCUAAUACCGCAUAAGACCACAGCACCGCAUGGUGCAGGGGUAAAAACUCCGGUGGUAUGGGAUGGAUCCGCGUCUGAUUAGCUAGUUGGUAAGGUAACGGCUUACCAAGGCAACGAUCAGUAGCCGACCUGAGAGGGUGACCGGCCACAUUGGGACUGAGACACGGCCCAA